UAAGGAAUAUUGGUCAAUGGAGGGAACUCUGAACCAGCCAUGCCGCGUGAAGGAUGACGGCCCUCUGGGUUGUAAACUUCUUUUGGAUGGGGCGAAAAAACGGGAUUUAUCCUGGACUGACGGUACCAUCAGAAUAAGCACCGGCUAACUCCGUGCCAGCAGCCGCGGUAAUACGGAGGGUGCAAGCGUUAUCCGGAAUCACUGGGUUUAAAGGGUGCGUAGGCGGUUGUAUAAGUCAGGGUGAAAGCACGCAGCUUAACUGUGUAAUUGCCUUUGAUACUGUACGGCUUGAAUAGGGUUGAGGUUGGCGGAAUGUGACAUGUAGCGGUGAAAUGCAUAGAUAUGUCAUAGAACACCGAUUGCGAAGGCAGCUGACUGGGCCUAUAUUGACGCUGAGGCACG
rnacentral:rRNA from 1 species